CGCAGCCUCAGACUGCAGUUGAUCAGCGGGGAAUAACUAUGAUGGUUCGGAAGGUUUCAGGUGGCAAAUAUCACUUCAGUUCUUUCUUCAGGAUUUCAGCAUCUGGCUAUCUUUGUUGUGCAGUGUUAUCAAACCAUUGAGAGAAACAGAACUUUCCUCAAAGCCAAGAAACAGCUUUCAAAAGGAAGUUUCCCAAAAACUCUUCUAAAAGUACCAGCAUAUCUUCAAACCAAGGCAUUGAGUGUUUGCAUUUGACCCUUGGCCAAGAUAAGGGAAGUUGAAUUUAUGAUGUGUUGAGAACCUCCAGGAUGGAGUCUCGCUUUGUCAUCCGGGCUGGAUGUGGUGCGAUCAUAGCUCUGCCUACUCGAACUCCUGGGCUCAAGCGAUCCUCCUGCUUCAUCCUCGCAAGUACCUGGGACUACAGGCACAUGCCACCACACCCAGCUGAGAGCUUAUUUUGUUGGAUACUAGACAUAUGAAGUACUGAAAUACAAAGGGAUUAGGACUGCAAACAAGUUUAUAAGAUUCCAAGAUUGCAGUGAAUUCGUCUGACCCAGAUACGACAGAAGAUCCUCUCUGGUGAAUAUGUGCAACCGUUCUGAACCUCUCUUUUGAAAACUUUACUCUUCUUCUGAUUUGAUUCCAUAAUUGGAAAUUAAAUGGAAACUCAUGCCUUCCUAAAAGUGUUGUAAUUACAUAUUUUGUAUUUCUUUUACCUGAAGUUGUCUGUUGUCAUCUUAUACAUCUUACUUAGGAGCCAUUGACCUUGUGGCAACGCUCCGAAGCAUCACUCUCUGUUCAAGGCACCACACACCUGCAGUGAAGAUGCAGGGAUUAGGUGUAUGUUUCAGGUGUCUAUAGUAGGCUCAAGUUAGCUCACUUGUCUGGAAACUUCUAAUACCUUCAGAAUCAUAGCCCAGCUUAAAGUCUUAGCCAGUAUUUCUGUGCACAUUUCACUGGUAUUACAAAUCAAUCACUGUCACAUUCACCUCACUCAUCACUGCAGUAAUUAUUUUAAGAACUUGUGCUUGUGCCAUUUUGUAUUCACAAUUAGGUAUAAUUGGC
rnacentral:lncRNA from 1 species